CAGGUUUUCACACUUCAAGAGGACUGAGGAUUGAUAUGAGCUUAUGUAUUGAUAACAGAAUCUUUGAAGCAGUAUAAUAGCGACAAGAGAACAAACAAGUCAGAGAGGAUAAAGACCCGUUAGAACCAGUAGCUACAACACAGGGCAAGCUUCAUGACAUACCCAGUUUUCACACUUCCAUAGGACUGAGGACUGAUCUGACCUUUGGUAUUUAAAAGAGAAAUCCAUAUCAUCUAAUUCAGGAGAGCCAAUAAGUCAGAGAGGAUAAAGACCCGAUAAUGACUCUUGUUAGAACCUGUAGCAGCUACAACACAAGG